rnacentral:rRNA from 1 species
GGAAUCAACGCUGGCGGCGUGCCUAACACAUGCAAGUCGCACGAGAAAGUGGAGCAAUCCAUGAGUAAAGUGGCGCACGGGUGAGUAACACGUGAAUUAUCUACCUCCGAGUGGGGAAUAACUGAGAGAAAUCUUAGCUAAUACCGCAUAACACUUACGAGUCAAAGCAGCAAUGCGCUUGGAGAGGAGUUCGCGGCCGAUUAGUUAGUUGGCGGGGUAAUGGCCCACCAAGACGAUGAUCGGUA